rnacentral:rRNA from 1 species
UACGGGGGGGGCAAGCGUUGUUCGGAAUUACUGGGCGUAAAGGGCCAGUAGGCGGCCAACUUAGUCCGACGUGAAAUCCCAAGGCUUAACCUUGGAACUGCGUCGGAUACUGGAUGGCUUGAAUUCGGGAGAGGGAUGCAGAAUUCCAGGUGUAGCGGUGAAAUGCGUAGAUAUCUGGAGGAAUACCGGUGGCGAAGGCGGCAUCCUGGACCGACAUUGACGCUGAACGGCGAAAGCUAGGGGAGCAAACGGG